rnacentral:rRNA from 1 species
CGCCUCUUGAUAAGAGGUCUAGCCUGCCCAGUGACGUUCAACGGCCGCGGUAUCCUAACCGUGCAAAGGUAGCGUAAUCACUUGUCUUCUAAAUAAAGACCAGUAUGAAAGGCACCACGAAGACUAAACUGUCUCCCCCUUCUAAUCAGUGAACCUAAUCUCCCCGUGAAGAAGCGGGGGUAAAGCCAUAAGACGAAAAGACCCUAUGGAGCUUAAAACAUCAUAACAUUUGCACCCUGAUUAUAUGUUUUUGGUUGGGGUGACCGCGGAGAAAAAUCCAUCCUCCACGAUGAAAAACAAUAAGCCACAACUUUAUGUAUUAAUAAAUUAACAUCUUUGACCCAAUUACUUGACUAACGAACCAAGUUACCCUAGGGAUAACAGCGCAAUCCACUUUGAGAGCUCCUAUCGACAAGUGGGCUUACGACCUCGAUGUUGGAUCGGGGUAGCCUAGUGGUGCAGCCGCUACUAAAGGUUCGUUUGUUCAACGAUUAAAACCCC